UACGUAGGUGGCGAGCGUUACUCGGAAUCACUGGGCAUAAAGGGCGUGUAGGCGGAUGCGUAAGUCCGGUGUAAAAGCCCCCGGCUCAACCGGGGAAGGCCAUUGGAUACUGCGUGUCUUGAGUGCGGGAGGGGAGAGUGGAACUCUUGGUGGAGCGGUGAAAUGCGUAGAUAUCAAGAGGAACGCCGGUGGCGAAAGCGACUCUCUGGCCCGUUACUGACGCUGAGGCGCGAAAGCUAGGGGAGCAAACGGG
rnacentral:rRNA from 2 species